ACUUAUCUGGAAAAUAAAUGUGGUGUGAUGAAGUAAAAUUUUCAAAAUCUGUGUUUAAUUAUGGGCUAAUGGUUUUCAUAUGUUAUGCACAUGUUGUUGCCCGUAUAUACUUAGUUGUAACUGCACAGGUUUCCUUCAUUUCUGAUAAACUGAAUUGGAGUACAUGUAAAUGCUUUCUCUGCUAAAAUGAAUGAAAUUGGAAGUGAAAUGUUAUG
rnacentral:sRNA from 1 species